rnacentral:lncRNA from 1 species
UAAUAAAAGAAAGGGAGAAUGAUAUAAAGGAUGAGGAAUCAAGGUACAAUCAAGAACUGACUUCUCAGUUGUUAGGCACAGAAAACAAAUGUAACUCUUUAGAAAAACAAUUGGAAUACAUGAGAAAAAAUGGAUCUUCUUGAACAGGAAUGUAACACACUUACCACGAUGCAAGCCCUUACAGAAAAAAAAAAAAAAAGAGUUGGAAGCAAAACUUCAUGAAGAACAAGAAGAAAAAAAAAUGUACGCAG